rnacentral:rRNA from 1 species
UACGGGGGGGGCAAGCGUUGUUCGGAAUUACUGGGCGUAAAGGGCUCGUAGGCGGCCAACUAAGUCCGACGUGAAAUCCCCAGGCUUAACCUGGGAACUGCGUCGGAUACUGGAUGGCUUGAAUUCGGGAGAGGGAUGCAGAAUUCCAAGUGUAGCGGUGAAAUGCGUAGAUAUCUGGAGGAAUACCGGUGGCGAAGGCGGCAUCCUGGACCGACAUUGACGCUGAGGAGCGAAAGCUAGGGGAGCAAACGGG